AAACACAAAAAGACCAAUGGAGCAUAAUUUACAACAAAUUUUUUUAUCAAUAAUAAAAUCCUUUACUAUCCACUUACCUCGGUGAAGUUCAUAAAAUAACAUACGAAAGCAAUAACAUUAUCAUCAUCAUGAAAUUAUAUGAACUGUAUAACAUAAUACUUAUCAUGCCUUUUGCAUUUCAAUCGUUACACAACAUAUUUUUCCUCAUUUACUAGCCUACUAGUAUCCAUGGGGAUCCAUAGGGGUCCCGCUACCCGUGAACCCUUAACACUUGUAAUCAGAUUCCAGGGCCGUCCCCAUACCCCGUCCGGUAUGGGCGCCAAAACUAUAAACCUCAAUACCCCGUCCGGUAUGAGGGUGAAACGGGCCGUCCCCACACCCCGUCCGGUAUGGGCGCCAAAACACAUAAGGUCUCCAUACCCCGUCCGGUAUGGGCGCCAAAACUAUAAACCUCAAUACCCCAUCCGGUAUGAGGGUGAAACGGGCCGUCCCCACACCCCGUCCGGUAUGGGCGCCAAAACACAUAAGGUCUCCAUACCCCUUCCGGUAUGAGAGACCACAAUCCCGGUAGGGUUCCCUACGGACCCGGUCCGUCUACCAUCUCCCAGGAUAUCUAGUCAGGCUGACCACAUUAUACAAUUAUCAAUUUACUUAACAUUUCAUUCCCAUUUUUCCUCAAUCAGCAUCAUCAAAUCAUACACAAAUAAGCAAACCAGUAAUUUAUGCCAAACAAGACAACAUACAACAUCGGGUUCUCAGUCAUUCAACCCAUAAU
rnacentral:lncRNA from 1 species